rnacentral:rRNA from 1 species
UACGAAGGGGGCUAGCGUUGCUCGGAAUCACUGGGCGUAAAGCGCACGUGGGCGGAUUGCUAAGUCGGGGGUGAAAUCCUGGAGCUCAACUCCAGAACUGCCUUUGAUACUGGCGACCUUGAGUCCGGGAGAGGUGAGUGGAACUGCGAGUGUAGAGGUGAAAUUCGUAGAUAUUCGCAAGAACACCAGUGGCGAAGGCGGCUCACUGGCCCGGUACUGACGCUGAGGUGCGAAAGCGUGGGGAGCAAACAGG